AGACAGCCGCCAGUAAUCGGUAUCGCGUUACCCGGAAUUCGGGCUCCUACUAUUGCACUCAACAGAGCCUUGGCCGACUUACGUCGUACCAAGCCAAACCUUUCGGACACAGCAUAGAAUUGUACAAGCGGACAAGGCCACCGCGAUCACUUCGUACGUCCACUGCCCUGGAUCCCAUGUCGCUAUUGAUACGACUUAAAUCUUUCUUAUGACAGGCGAUACCAACAUUUCUGCCAGUCUCCUCACGGAGUUGUGAGGCGGUAGCACCCGUACUCAUCUAUUACCUGCCUAAGGCGGCGAUCCACCGAAUUUCCCACCUGCUUUUCAUUUGUAGGCAGGUUGGUAGGACAAGCGGUCUGUCUCGAACGCGGGACAGAAAAUGCAGAACACCCCGCCAACCG